AACGAACGCUGGCGGCAGGCCUAACACAUGCAAGUCGAGGGGCAGCACAUGAGUAGCAAUACGAUGGUGGCGACCGGCGCACGGGUGAGUAACACGUAUGCAACCUGCCUUCUACUAUGGGAUAACCCGUUGAAAGACGGACUAAUACCGUAUAAUACAGGGGCUCCGCAUGGAGAUAUUUGUUAAAGAUUUAUUGGUAGAAGAUGGGCAUGCGUAUGAUUAGAUAGUUGGUGAGGUAACGGCUCACCAAGUCAACGAUAAUUAGGGGUUCUGAGAGGAAGGUCCCCCAGACUGGUACUAAGACACGGACCAGACUCCUACGGAGGCAGCAGUGAGGAAUAUUGGUCAAUGGACGAGAGUCUGAACCAGCCAAGUCGCGUGAAGGAAGACGGUUCUAUGAAUUGUAAACUUCUUUUGUGCAGGAAUAAAGUGGGUUACGUGUAACCUUUUGUAUGUACUGUACGAAUAAGGAUCGGCUAACUCCGUGCCAGCCGCCGCAGUAAUAC
rnacentral:rRNA from 1 species